GUCAUUGCGAUAGUAAUACUGCUCAGUACGAGAGGAACCUCAGGUUCGGACAUUUGGUUCACGCACUCGGUCGAGCGGCCGGUGGUGCGAAGCUAUCAUCCGUGGGAUUAUGCCUGAACGCCUCUAAGGCUGUAUCCUCUCUAAUCAAAGGUGGCAAUGAUAUAUCUAGGAGUCUCGUGAGUCGAAUAGCUCAAAACAAUGUGACACUACUAGGCGGCUGGUCCACGGACCAGUCGUCGCACGAGCCCGGUUUGCCGUACGGCGCCAUGGCCCGUCGUCGGCAUCUCACCGCUACGACGACACGGCGUCUAACGGUCGAACAUGAGUUUCGCGAGUUCGAUGUCGAGACUCGGAAUCGUCUGUAGACGACUUAGGUACCUGGCGGGGUGUUGUACUCGGUAGAGCAGUUACCACGCUGUGAUCUGUUGAGACUCAGCCCUCGACUUGGGGAUUC
rnacentral:ncRNA from 1 species